GAGCGUGCACCUGAUGAGGAUUCUGCUGCUGAGAUUGUGUGAUGGCUCAGACUCAAAGUAAACGCCCUGAUGCAUGCUCA